rnacentral:rRNA from 1 species
GGCGUAAGCGUGCGUAGGUGGUUUGUUAAGUCUGAUGUGAAAGCCCUGGGCUCAACCUGGGAAUGGCAUUGGAAACUGGCUUACUAGAGUGCGGUAGAGGGUAGUGGAAUUCCCGGUGUAGCAGUGAAAUGCGUAGAUAUCGGGAGGAACAUCUGUGGCGAAGGCGACUACCUGGACCAGCACUGACACUGAGGCACGAAAGCGUGGGGAGCAAACAGGAUUAGAUACCCUGGUAGUCCACGCCCUAAACGAUGCGAACUGGAUGUUGGGAGCAACUUGGCUCUCAGUAUCGAAGCUAACGCGUUAAGUUCGCCGCCUGGGAAGUACGGUCGCAAGACUGAAACUCGCAGGAAUUGACGCGAGC